AAGCUGCACAUGGUGGCUUGCACCUAUAGUCCUAACUACUCAGGAGACCGAGAUGGGAGGAUCACUUGAGCCCUGGAAAUCAAGGUUGCACCGAGCUAUGAUGGUGCCACUACACUUCAGCCUGGGUGAAAGAGCAGAGACCCUGUCUCUAGAAAAACAAAAAAAAGCACACCUACUUAGGUAAGUUAUGUAAUGUAGCAGGACACUCUGCUUUACAAGAGUUACCAAGAUCUCUCUAAAUACAAAAAUACAUUUCAUGGAAAGACUGCUGAAAACUAGGUCUAAUUAAACCACAAAUCCCAAAUACUUACAUACCAUUUGAGCUCUUUAAAGAGGGCUCCUAACAUUUAUUGUAACCAUCCUUUCUCCAUUCUGAAAUUUCACUAAUUUCAUAUAUAAAAUCUUUGUUUUGGAAACUAUUUCCGUUUUUAUUUUCAUAUUUUUAACAUGCAACCCAGAAAUACUAAUCUACGUAGUCAUCAUCUUGUGCUUGUAUCAGAUUUUCUUUUAGCAUAAAAUAACUAAAGUUUAUGGAAGUCAUCUUUGUGCCUUUCCCUAGUGCCAUUUCCUUCCUUUAUUCCUUUUUUCUCUCUUUUUUUUUUUUAAAGUUGGAGUCUUGCUCUGUCACCCAGGCUGGAGUGCAAUGGCAGGAUCUCGACUCACUGCAACCUUCACCUCCCGGGUUCAAGCAAUUCUCCUGCCUCAGCCUCCCAAGUAGCUGGGACUACAGGCACCUGCCACCACGCCUGGCUAAUUUUUGUAUUUUCAGUAGAGACAGGGUUUCACUGUAUUGGCCAGGCUGGUCUUGAACUCCUGACCUCGUGACCCGCCUGCCUCAGCCUCCCCAAAGUGCUGGGAUUACACCUUUGUUCCUUCUUUAAAAAGUAAUGGCUUUCAUCAUGAACUUAGUGUGUCUUUUCCUGUCCACAUUUUCACGGCAUGUGUGUAAAUUUCAUGAAUAGGGUUGUACGGCUACCAAAUUUUAUGUUAAUAGUAUACUUAAAAAUCUUUUAGGCUGGGCACGGUGGCUUACGCCUGUAAUCCUGGCACUAUGGGAGGCCGAGGUGAGCAGAUCACAAGGUCAGGAGUUCAAGACCAUCCUGACCAAUAUGGCGAAACCCCAUCUCUACUAAAAAUACAAAAACUAGCCGGGAAUGGUGGCGUGCGCCUAUAGUCCCAGCUACUCGGGAGGCUGAGGCAGGAGAAUCGCUUGAAUCCAGGAGCGGAGGCUGCAGUGAGCUGUGAUCAAGCCAUUGUGCUCCAGCC
rnacentral:lncRNA from 1 species